rnacentral:rRNA from 1 species
UACGUAGGGCGCAAGCGUUGUCCGGAAUUAUUGGGCGUAAAGAGCUCGUAGGUGGCGUGUCGCGUCUGCCGUGAAAGCCCAUGGCUUAACUGUGGGUCUGCGGUGGAUACGGGCAGGCUGGAGGCUGGUAGGGGCAAGCGGAAUUCCUGGUGUAGCGGUGAAAUGCGCAGAUAUCAGGAGGAACACCGGUGGCGAAGGCGGGUCUCUGGGACGGUACUGACGCUGAGACGCGAAAGCGUGGGGAGCGAACAGG